CGACAUUUAAAUCUAUCUGAGAUCACCUUGGAAGGGAAUGUAGGAAGAAGGGUGCUGUGGGGAGCAUGAAUGUUUGGGGUAGAGCUGUGAGCACUAGCCAGCACAGGACUUAGAGGGGUCAGACUCUCCACCUAGAAGCUGUGAGGAAAAUACCGCAGGCAGGAUGCAUGGCCAGCCCGCAGCGUUUCAAGAGGUCUGUGAGAUAAAAAC
rnacentral:lncRNA from 1 species